CGCCGCUUCUUGAAGUGCAGCGACGGCGCUGCUUUGGAACCUUAAAUCAGUCUUGAAAUCUUGAGCGAUUUCCCUCACCAGCCUCUGGAAAGGAAGCUUCCUGAUCAACAACUCGGUGCUCUUCUGGUAUUUACGGAUCUCUCUCAAAGCCACGGUUCCUGGCCUGAAACGGUGAGGCUUCUUCACUCCGCCGGUCGCCGGAGCGGACUUACGAGCGGCCUUCGUGGCUAGCUGCUUCCUUGGAGCUUUUCCACCAGUCGACUUCCUAGCUGUUUGCUUCGUACGAGCCAUUGAUGUGAUGAUUUCGAGAUUUGACAAAAUCUGUUUGAUUUAUGAGAAAUUAAAGUAAUUUUCGUAGAGAAAUUUCUUAUGGUCGGAUUUGGAUGGUUUUAGAUUAUAUAUAUAAGGGGAAUUCUGAAGCAGCGGGAAAAGUGAAAUUUUUGAAUUUUGUGCUUUGCGAUUGAAGAAUUUUAAACGGAUGAAUCGAAACCGUAGAGUAGUUGAGUUAUCGACGGCUGAUGAGUUUUGUAAAUGUCGUGAUCCGUGUGCGAUCGAAAACGACCAAUAUGAUUCGUUCAUUCCAAGCAGCAUUGUAAGAGAGGAUCUAAGCUGUCCAUUUACUGAAUCAUAGAUCACGAUCCGUGGGAUGUCCAGCUAGGCAAUGGGAAUAUGGGAUUUUCAGUCUUCACCUUUUAUAUAAUUUUCUUUAAAUCUAUUUGAAUUUAUUUCACACAACAAUUUUAAUUCAUUGGAGGAAAAUAUUGAUCCUAAAAUUUUUAUUGUGACUUUUUAUAAUUUAAAAUUUUAAUAUAAUUAUUUAAUACUAUUUUAUAUUUUUAUUUUUUUAAUUUUUAAAUACUACUUAGACAAAUUUGGACAUAUAAAUAUCAAUAUUCAAAUAAACUUUGACAUUGAUUUGUUUAAGUUUAUUCUAGAUUUUAAUAUUGAUUAAGUCUUAACUCAAAUUGCAUAAAUAAUGUUGUCAAUAUAAGAAAACGUAGAUUCGAGGGUGUUCGAGUGCAUUAUCCUCUAAUUAAUGGAUUUAGAAGUGAUUAUUAAUAGUUUUAAGUAUUAUGUCAAAAAAAACAUAUAAAUAGAAAUAAAAUUAUUUAAAAAAAUCCAAUUUUAAUUUUUUAUUAUCUUUUAUAGUUAUACAUUUAAAACUCUACUAAUUUUUUGCAAUGCUACAUAAACAACCAUCGCUAACAUAGACCACCGAGACAACAUCAAAAUGAUUAGCUCAAUGAAUAUUAAUGGCCAGAUCAAAACAUAAAUGGCCAACAAUGAAAACCGUUAGUAAAAGAAAUUAAUUAAUGCAUAUUUAGCGUUUGGAAUAAUAUUUGAUACACAGUCGUUAUAUAAAUCUUAUGUACUAUUAAUAAAUAAUAAAAUUAUGUAUUAUUAUUGAAUUAAACAAACAAAUAAAAGAUUUAUAAAUAUAUAGUAAUAAUUUUAUUCAAACAUAAUUAAUAUAAAUAAAUAUUAAUAAUUCUCGAAUUUAAGAUAUUAAAGUUAAAAUUUUAAUAUUUAUUUAUAAUACAUCUAUUAUUUAUAAGAUGUAAUGUUAUUAUUAAUCAAUUAUACACAUAAUUUACAAAUCAAACAAGAUUCAAGUCAAAACCCUAACAAAAUUCUAAAACGUAACAAACAACAAAGCCUCAACAGCUGCCGACAAAAUCACUCCAACCGCUGCCAUUAUUUUAAGGGGGAAAAAAAUCCUUCCCUUCACUAUUUAUCCAUAUGAAAUUUACAGCCAAUCAAUAUAAUAGACUAAAACAAAUUUGUUUAUAAUAAUUCCAAUAAAUUCCUUUGAGGUUUGAAUAAUAUGAUUAUUCAACAUAAAUUUGUUUACUGAAUAUGAAGAAUGUCGCAUUCGAACUUCAGAAUCGCUUCAUUUGCAAAUUUUAGAAUUUAUUAAACGUUGUUAGCGAAAAUUCUUAAUCACAACUGGAAAUGUUCAAUUUACUAGCAAUAAAAUUUAGAAGGUAUAGAUAACUUUAAACAAACGAAAAUAUUAAACCUCCAUUGAAAUACACCUCCGUUUACAUAAAGAUUUUGCCGAGAAAGCAAAUUCCAGAAACUAAAUCCAAGAUCUAGAUCUUUCUAAAUUUUAUAAUCAAUCAAGUAAAUAGAGGCAACCUAAGCUCUCUCACCUCUAAUCCUCCUAGCAAGCUGGAUAUCCUUAGGCAUGAUUGUAACUCUCUUAGCAUGAAUUGCACACAAAUUAGUGUCUUCAAACAGUCCGACAAGAUAAGCCUCCGCCGCUUCUUGAAGAGCAGCGACGGCGCUGCUUUGGAACCUCAGAUCGGUCUUGAAAUCUUGCGCGAUUUCCCUCACCAACCUCUGGAAAGGAAGCUUCCUGAUCAACAGUUCAGUG
rnacentral:lncRNA from 1 species